rnacentral:rRNA from 1 species
GAACGAACGCUGGCGGCGUGCUUAACACAUGCAAGUCGUGCGCGAUGGUGGCUUCGGCUGCCGGAGAGCGGCGAACGGGUGAGUAACACGUGGGCAAUCUGCCUGGGGGUGUGGGAUAACCUGGGGAAACUCGGGCUAAUACCGCAUACGUUGUCGGGACCUUGGUCCUGCCAAGAAAGCUGGCCUCUGUUUACAAGCUAGCGCUCCCAGAGGAGCCCGCGCCUGAUUAGCUAGUUGGUGAGGUAAUGGCUCACCAAGGCGACGAUCAGUAGCCGGCCUGAGAGGGUGAUCGGCCACACUGGAACUGAGACACGGUCCAGACUCCUACGGGAGGCAGCAGUGGGGAAUAUUGGACAAUGGGCGAAAGCCUGAUCCAGCAACGCCGCGUGGAGGAUGAAGGUCCU